rnacentral:snRNA from 1 species
UUGCUUCGGCAGCACAUGUACUAAAACUGGAAUGAUACAGAGAAGAUUAGCAUGACCCCUGUGCAAGAAUGACAUAUACAUUUGUGAAGUGUUCCAUAUUUUC